GACAGAGGGGGCAAACGUUGUUCGGAAUUACUGGGCGUAAAGCGAGUGUAGGCGGUUUGGUAAGUCGGAUGUGAAAGCUCUGGGCUCAACCCAGGAAGUGCACUCGAAACUGCCAAGCUAGAGUAACGGAGAUGUUGGUGGAAUUCUCGGUGUAGAGGUGAAAUUCGUAGAUAUCGAGAGGAACACCGGUGGCGAAGGCGGCCAACUGGACGAAUACUGACGCUGAGACUCGAAAGCGUGGGGAGCAAACAGG
rnacentral:rRNA from 1 species